AUGAAAAUCAUGCAUGAUUUGUCAAAGGGUUAUACAACUUCAUUCUCGCCCAUUCGAGGUUAUAACCAUGCAAUUUACAAUCUAUGUUAUUGGAGCAUUACCAUAGAAAAUUACAACGCCAUUUACAUCCAAAAUUACUUAAUCAAAACAAAAUUUUACACUAAAUCUUCGAGUGGCCUAAACCUAAAGAGUCCCAAGUUCCAGUUCUCCAUCAUUCAUUUCUAA